CUUGGGUCUGGGAUAACCCCGGGAAACUGGGGAUAAUACCGGAUAACGCAUAUAUGCUGGAAUGCUUUAUGCGUAAAAUGGAUUCGUCUGCCCAAGGAUGGGUCUGCGGCCUAUCAGGUAGUAGUGGGUGUAAUGUACCUACUAGCCUACAACGGGUACGGGUUGUGAGAGCAAGAGCCCGGAGAUGGAUUCUGAGACAUGAAUCCAGGCCCUACGGGGCGCAGCAGGCGCGAAAACUUUACAAUGCGGGAAACCGUGAUAAGGGGACACCGAGUGCCAGCAUCAUAUGCUGGCUGUCCAGAUGUGUAAAAUACAUCUGUUAGCAAGGGCCGGGCAAGACCGGUGCCAGCCGCCGCGGUAACACCGGCGGCCCGAGUGGUGAUCGUGAUUAUUGGGUCUAAAGGGUCCGUAGCCGGUUUGGUCAGUCCUCCGGGAAAUCUGAUGGCUCAACCAUUAGGCUUUCGGGGGAUACUGCCAGGCUUGGAACCGGGAGAGGUAAGAGGUACUACAGGGGUAGGAGUGAAAUCUUGUAAUCCCUGUGAGACCACCUGUGGCGAAGGCGUCUUACCAGAACGGGUUCGACGGUGAGGGACGAAAGCUGGGGGCACGAACCGGAUUAGAUACCCGGGUAGUCCCAGCCGUAAACGAUGCUCGCUAGGUGUCAGGCAUGGCGCGACCGUGUCUGGUGCCGCAGGGAAGCCGUGAAGCGAGCCACCUGGGAAGUACGGCCGCAAGGCUGAAACUUAAAGGAAUUGGCGGGGGAGCA
rnacentral:rRNA from 1 species